AUUGAUUGUUGUUCCCUUUCUAACUAGAACCAGAUUUCGUCAGACUCUGUUAAUGAGAUUAAUCCAGUUUUGGAUUCCCAACUGUAAUCGUGUUGUAGAUCGUCCGGGUUUGGUAGGAUAUAUAGAAGAUACUGACGAUGGAUUUGACGUAGUUGGAGCUGCACUUGGAUUCUGCGUUGGCACUCGUCGUUCCAAACCUCCCACUCCUCUGCUGUAGCUGUUGAUGGAGAUAUUAGCAACAACUUGGUUUCAAAGGAUCUUCACGAGAUCGAUAAACUCGCUGAUUGCCCCAAAUUCAAGGACAGUUAUGGCUUAUUCUUGGACCAGUCCAAGCUGUUGAUGAAGUUACAGGUGGACUCUAAAGCUUCUGUAGCAGCUUCAAGUUUCUAUGUGACAUCUCUUCAACUCGUUCUCUCAGGUGGACCAAGCACAAUGAAGAGACGUGAACUACAUUCUUGAUGAUGAUGAAAACUUGACGCUUUCAUAACCUCUGCAUGACGCUGGAAACUCGCUCAAGCAAUCAGAAAACAACAUCAAACACAUGUAGGGAGACAAGACAAC